rnacentral:rRNA from 1 species
CUGAAAAAGGCCUUCGGGUUGUAAAGCCCUUUUGUUGGGAAAAAAAUCCAGCUGGUUAAUACCCGGUUGGGAUGACGGUACCCAAAGAAUAAGCACCGGCUAAUUUCGGGCCAGCAGCCGCGGUAAUAAAGCCACCAGCCGGG